AGAUCGAACUAUAGAGUUUGAUCCUGGCUCAGAUUGAACGCUGGCGGCAUGCCUUACACAUGCAAGUCGAACGGCAG
rnacentral:rRNA from 1 species